CCUCGGGCGGCCGCCGUUUGCGGGGCUGUUUCCUGUCUCAGGAGAGAGGGGGAAGGGCGCCACAACGCCGACGGAGGCUGCGGCCGCCCUCCUCGCAGCGAAGCUUCUGGAAAGGGGGGCCCCUUGUCAGAGUUUCUGUUUUUGGGGCCGCCCCUCCCUCGGCCGCACUUUGGUGGCCUCUUUACUCUUGGUAAAUGUGAGGCCUCCCUGAGCCUCAGGGGUCACUCACCUGUAAAGGAAAGGCGGGGCCUGCAGGAGAAAGCUCCCGAUGAGGAACUGAGACCCAGGGAGGGGAGCAUAUGGUGUCCAGGAAGAUCACUGACUUUGAAGGCAGAGACUGGAGUUCAAAUGCUGCCUGUGAUUCGUCCAAGGUCAUGGAAGGGAACUGAGUUCAGGAGACUUGCCUGGAUGACACAAUGAAUAAAGGUCAGAGAUGGAAUUGGCCUCCAAGUUCUUUCCAACCCCCAAACCAACAUUAUAUCCAGGCAAAAGCGGGGCAGAUGUAGGAAAAUGAAUAACAGUGAGAUACAGCAGUUGGAAACUUUUGAUAAUGAGAAUUCCUUGGAGAGACACCUGGGCAAGACAAUUCUUAGAAAAUAAGCUUCUACAUUAGAGUUUUCUCCUAUGGAAUCUGAUUGGCUAUAGGUCUGACUCACAAAAGAGCUGAAAUAGCCCCGAGGCAAUGGACUAUCUUUCAAAAGAACUGUAGCUACUCCCGAGCAGCCAUAAUUCAUCCAUGAACCAAUAGAUGACACCAGCAAGUCUGUGGGGAAGCAGUACGUGGUACCUACAGAGACAGAAAGAUGUUCUAGUAGCAAAGAAACCUUAAGAGUAUGAGUUAGUCUGGGAGAUAUGUCUUUCCUUGUUCGCCACCGUUUGGAAGAACGUAAGUUGUGAGUGCUGGGAGAAAAUUUACUUUUAUUAUAUAAAUAAUAUAGAGUUGUUUAUAUAGUUCAAUUAAAUGCCUUUGCUUUUAGUUAAUGUGAUUUCUGUUUUGGUCUUAUAAAAAGAAACAGGUCAUAACUGUGGUUUUACAUGGAGACUGACUGAAAACAUUCCUUUAACCUGGGAUUAGCUUUUAGGGUCCCAUAUUUGAGGGGAGCUUGUGCUAAAGGUCCCAAGGCCUUCCACAUCUUCUUUUGUGGAAACUCAAGAGAAUUUCACAAAGGAAAAUUUUUUUCCUCCUCAUAGGUUUCUGGUGGAAGUGUUUCCAAUUUUUGCUCAUCUCUACCACUUGUAUGAAUUCCUCCACCAACGGUCAUCGUGGUCCUUAAGACCCCAUGGUGGAUCUUACGAAUUUCUGUGGCCAAAAAGAAUUCACUAUUUUGUGACUCACCAUGUGUUGAUGUAAAUUUCUGCCUUUUCUUAAGGGAUCACACAGUAAUAAUAUUUUGUGACAUUGGAAAUUCAUUGGGAAUUAAAUAGCCCAGCUUAUUUGGAGAUGGAUAUUCUGCUGGCACGGUCUAGAACUCAUUAUGGCACACAUGCGUUAGAAAAGGACUUUUUAGUGAAAGCUUCAAUAUCCGACAAUGAUAUUUGGCGUUUAUGUCAUGCUUGCAUUUAUUA